rnacentral:rRNA from 1 species
UAGGGAAUCUUCCACAAUGGACGCAAGUCUGAUGGAGCAACGCCGCGUGAGUGAAGAAGGUUUUCGGAUCGUAAAGCUCUGUUGUUGGUGAAGAAGGAUAGAGGCAGUAACUGGUCUUUAUUUGACGGUAAUCAACCAGAAAGUCACGGCUAACUACGUGCCAGCAGCCGCGGUAAUACGUAGGUGGCAAGCGUCGUCCGGAUUUAUUGGGCGUAAAGCGAGCGCAGGCGGAAUGAUAAGUCUGAUGUGAAAGCCCACGGCUCAACCGUGGAACUGCAUCGGAAACUGUCAUUCUUGAGUGCAGAAGAGGAGAGUGGAAUUCCAUGUGUAGCGGUGGAAUGCGUAGAUAUAUGGAAGAACACCAGUGGCGAAGGCGGCUCUCUGGUCUGCAACUGACGCUGAGGCUCGAAAGCAUGGGUAGCGAACAGG